GAAAAAGGCUAAGGGCAAGUGUUAUCACUGCAAGCAGCCCGGGCAUCAUAAGAAGCAGUGUCCAACUUAUCUGGCCAAGCUGAAAAAUAAACCAGGGGUUUCAGGUAACGCGACAGCUAAGUAAAGGAGAAAUCAAUGUUUAUCAAGCAGACGGUUCAGCUGCCCCAGCUUUAGCAUUAGGAAAUAUUAGUAUUUCGUUUGGUAGUGGUAGAGUUUUAGCUUUA